GUGAAAUUGGUAGACACGCUGCUGCUAGAGCAUCUCGGUUCGAGUCCGAGUAGCGGCA
rnacentral:tRNA from 3 species